AACGAACGCUGGCGGCAUGCCUAACACAUGCAAGUCGAACGAAGGCUUCGGCCUUAGUGGCGCACGGGUGCGUAACGCGUGGGAAUCUGCCCUUAGGUUCGGAAUAACAGUUAGAAAUGACUGCUAAUACCGGAUGAUGACGUAAGUCCAAAGAUUUAUCGCCUGAGGAUGAGCCCGCGUAGGAUUAGCUAGUUGGUGUGGUAAAGGCGCACCAAGGCGACGAUCCUUAGCUGGUCUGAGAGGAUGAUCAGCCACACUGAGACUGAGACACGGCCCAGACUCCUACGGGAAGCAGCAGUGGGGAAUAUUGGACAAUGGGCGCAAGCCUGAUCCAGCAAUGCCGCGUGAGUGAUGAAGGCCUUAGGGUUGUAAAGCUCUUUUACCCGUGAUGAUAAUGACAGUAGCGGGAGAAUAAGCCCCGGCUAACUCCGUG
rnacentral:rRNA from 1 species